CGUUUUUUAAAUUUACCUUCCUCCUCUUCAUCUCCUCUCUUUCUAUCCAUCUGUUCCUCUCUCUCUAGAAAAUCUAGAAUCCCCGUGUUUCCCUCCACAGAUCUCCAAUUUCCUUCUCACCAACUCCCCCUCUCUCUUUCUAUCCCACACAUUUCUCCGCCCAUCGCUUCAUUUUCCUCCGCCGAUCAUCUAGAUUCUUCCCGAUAACCUCCGUUUUCCGGCCGGUCUUCAUGGACCACCGACCUUCUUACCAUGCCUGAGCCGCGCCGCAGAAAUCGGACCCCUAAAAACCCGAACCCGAUUACCCGAAGGGCCGCACUGAGGAAGACGAAUUGUGGUAAAAUUAGUAAGAGUAGGAAUAAUCGGAAGAAGAAGAGCGGUCCGGUACUCGAAACGAGGUCGUUUGAGUUGAAGGAACACCAGGUUAGGGAUUUCAGAGCCAUGGAUGAGUACGAUAGCGGUGGCCGCAGCGGCGAUAAGGGUCCGGUAGCUGAGGAAGAAAUCUCAGCUCCUAUUCCCGACAAGGUCCAGGUUGGUGGUUCCCCGCUGUACAAAGUAGAGAGGAAAUUGGGGAAAGGAGGCUUUGGACAAGUAUAUGUUGGCCGGCGCACUGCACCCGGCCCUGGAGCUAUUGAGGUUGCCUUGAAAUUUGAGCAUAGAAGCAGUAAAGGAUGUAAUUAUGGCCCACCAUAUGAAUGGCAAAUUUACAAUGCACUUGGUGGUAGUCAUGGAGUUCCAAGAGUUCAUUAUAAGGGUCGGCAAGCUGACUACUAUAUCAUGGUUAUGGAUAUUCUUGGGCCUAGUUUGUGGGAUGUCUGGAAUAACAGCUCGCACACAAUGUCAAUUGAAAUGGUUGCAUGUAUUGCCAUUGAGGCAAUUUCCAUAUUGGAGAAGAUGCACUCUAGAGGAUAUGUGCAUGGAGAUGUGAAACCUGAGAACUUUUUGCUUGGUCCGCCUGGAACUCCUGAGGAGAAGAAGCUAUUCCUUGUUGACCUUGGAUUAGCCACAAGGUGGCGAGAUAGUUCAACUGGCCUGCAUGUAGAUUAUGAUCAACGUCCAGAUGUUUUCAGGGGAACUGUGCGGUAUGCAAGUGUGCAUGCUCAUCUUGGUAGAACUGGUAGCAGGAGAGAUGACUUGGAAUCUUUAGCUUACACAUUGAUAUUUCUUCUCCGUGGGCGGUUACCUUGGCAAGGAUACCAGGGAGAAAAUAAAGGAUUCCUUGUCUGCAAGAAAAAGAUGGCCACUUCUCCAGAAACUCUAUGUUGCUUUUGCCCUCAACCAUUCAGACUGUUUGUUGAGCAUGUGGUGAAUUUGAAGUUUGAUGAAGAACCGAACUAUGCAAAAUAUAUAUCCCUUUUUGAUGGAGUUGUUGGUCCAAAUCCAGAUAUUAGACCAAUAAAUACUGAUGGUGCUCAGAAGCUUAUAUGUCAGGUUGGACAAAAGAGAGGGCGAUUAACCAUGGAGGAAGAGGACGACGAGCAGCCAAAGAAGAAAAUUCGCAUGGGGAUGCCGGCAACACAAUGGAUUAGUGUUUACAAUGCUCGUAGGCCUAUGAAGCAAAGAUAUCACUACAAUGUGGCAGAUGUGAGGCUUUCCCAACAUAUUGAGAAAGGAAAUGAAGAUGGGUUGUUUAUCAGCAGUGUGGCUUCCUGUUCAAAUCUUUGGGCUCUCAUUAUGGAUGCUGGAACUGGAUUCAGUUCCCAAGUUUAUGAACUCUCUCCAUUUUUUCUCCACAAGGAAUGGAUCAUGGAACAAUGGGACAAAAAUUUCUAUAUCAGCGCAAUAGCAGGAGCUAACAAUGGAAGCUCUUUGGUUGUAAUGUCUAAAGGGACCUCAUUCUUACAGCAGUCCUAUAAAGUCAGUGAGUCAUUUCCUUUCAAGUGGAUUAAUAAAAAAUGGAGGGAAGGAUUUUAUGUUACUGCAAUGGCCACUGCAGGGAGUAGAUGGGCUAUUGUUAUGUCUCGGGGUGCAGGAUUUUCUGACCAGGUUGUAGAACUGGAUUUUCUGUAUCCUAGUGAAGGUAUUCAUCGAAGGUGGGACAGUGGUUACCGCAUCACGUCAACUGCAGCAACUUGGGAUCAGGCAGCUCUUGUUCUUAGUGUUCCAAGGAGAAAACCUGCUGAUGAAACACAAGAGACUCUUCGAACCUCUGCUUUUCCAAGUACACAUGUGAAGGAGAAAUGGGCAAAAAACCUUUACAUAGCAUCUAUUUGUUAUGGUCGAACUGUGUCAUGAACAACAUUGGGAUGCCAUCGAUCUAAUUUUGACAGAUUAUGAACAACAACCAGCUUUACAUUUACUGCCUCUUUGGAAUCAAAGAUCCUCUCACAGCAAAUUGAUUGGUCUUGGCCUUUGGAGUUGAUGUUGAAUAAUUGAUAAUUUGGUCAAGGUCUUCGAAGCAGAAACACAGCAGGGAAGUUUACAUGUAUGAAGCAAGACUUAUGAUGCCAAGAGGGAAAACCUAUCUUUCUGCUGCUGUGUGUUUCAUCAUUGACUGGCUAUCGGUUUAACUGGACAAUACAGCACUCAGUUCAAUUUUGUAUGCUAGAACUGGUAUUAAGAAAAGCUGGAAUGUGGCUUUGUGAGGGAAGUUUAUAGUUUAUACACUGAAAGUUUGUUUGUAGCUCUGACUCUUAGAUAUCCAUCUAGUGAUACUGUUGGAGAGUUGUUAAAACUUGAACACGAGGUCGUGAAGUGGUUCUAGGAAGUUUCAAUCUGGCUGCACUGGUCAUGGCUUUAAAGAAGACAAACCCAAGACGAACAUGAGGCAUCUUGGUCAAAUGGGGAGCUGGUUAUUUAUUUCACAGUUGAAUAUUAUUGAAUUUAACUCAUUUGUGGACACAUCUUUAUGGAGAUCCCUUCUGUGAUUGCUACUCGCCUUCAUUCAUGCAACAAAAGCUUACAUAUACACAAAAUGUCACAAGACUCUUGGAGUUAUCAGACAUUUACCGGCAUCCUUUUUGAGUCUGUAUAUCUUGCCCGAGUGAGUUUAAACCACUAGUCUACCACCUACAAGCCCUAUAACCAGUCAUCAUAAACCUCACCAUCACAGCCGUCCGAAAAUAAGAAAAGAAAUCCAUAUUUCAUAAUCAAGCAUUCGAUGAGUGCCUGCCAACAAGACCCAUACAAAUGCAAAUCUACAGUGAAAAAAAGGAACCGGGAAACAAAUCUUCACCAAGACGAGGGCGACAUCGAUGCCGCUUCAGCCAUUGCUGGACGACAUGUACCAAACGCCUCCUUUCUCGCUGAGUCGCUGGCUUUGCUCCAAGUUGUUGCAUCCGGAAUUGCUCCAAACGCAAGCCUUGCGAUGUACAGAAUCGCCCCUCGGAAUCACCCACCCAUUUUGAGAAACUGCGGGUUACAAAUCAAUGGCUACGUAAUGGAAGUGUCAAAAAAAUUGAGUUUAUUAAUAAAGGCUGAGGACAGCAGUACCAACAUUUUAUUUCAAAAAAAAAACUAGAAGUGUUUUAAAACCUUCUAGGGUGAAGACGAGUGUCAGGCACUCAGGUCCUCAUAAGCUGAUGUUUCCGGAGACAGCCAAGUUCAGAGUUAUGUGGAAGUGGGUUUCAGUACGGGAUUCAGUGUUGUUCUCUGUGAUGGAUGUGAGUGUUGAAGUUGACCUGUUGAAGCUA